rnacentral:rRNA from 1 species
AGAGUUUGAUCCUGGCUCAGGAUGAACGCUGGCGGCGUGCUUAACACAUGCAAGUCGAACGAAGCUGCUUAACUGAUCUUCUUCGGAAUUGACGUUUUGUAGACUGAGUGGCGGACGGGUGAGUAACGCGUGGGUAACCUGCCCUGUACAGGGGGAUAACAGUCAGAAAUGACUGCUAAUACCGCAUAAGACCACAGCACCGCAUGGUGCAGGGGUAAAAACUCCGGUGGUACAGGAUGGACCCGCGUCUGAUUAGCUGGUUGGUGAGGUAACGGCUCACCAAGGCGACGAUCAGUAGCCGGCUUGAGAGAGUGAACGGCCACAUUGGGACUGAGACACGGCCCAGACUCCUACGGGAGGCAGCAGUGGGGGAUAUUGCGCAAUGGGGGAAACCCUGACGCAGCAACGCCGCGUGAAGGAUGAAGGUCUUCGGAUUGUAAACUUCUUUUAUUAAGGACGAAGAAAGUGACGGUACUUAAUGAAUAAGCUCCGGCUAACUACGUGCCAGCAGCCGCGGUAAUACGUAGGGAGCAAGCGUUGUCCGGAUUUACUGGGUGUAAAGGGUGCGUAGGCGGCUUUGCAAGUCAGAUGUGAAAUCUAUGGGCUCAACCCAUAGCCUGCAUUUGAAACUGCAGAGCUUGAGUGAAGUAGAGGCAGGCGGAAUUCCCCGUGUAGCGGUGAAAUGCGUAGAGAUGGGGAGGAACACCAGUGGCGAAGGCGGCCUGCUGGGCUUUAACUGACGCUGAGGCACGAAAGCGUGGGUAGCAAACAGGAUUAGAUACCCUGGUAGUCCACGCUGUAAACGAUGAUUACUUGGGUGUGGGGGGUACUGCCCCCUUCGGUACCGGAGUUAACACAAUAAUUAAUCCACCUGGGGAGUACGGCCGCAAGGGUUGAAUCUCAAAGGAAUUGACGGGGGCCCGCACAAGCAGUGGAGUAUGUGGUUUUAAUUGGAAGCAACGCGAAGAACCUUACCAGGUCUUGACAUCCUACUAACGAGAUAGAGAUAUGUUAGGUGCCCUUCGGGGAAAGUAGAGACAGGUGGUGCAUGGUUGUCGUCAGCUCGUGUCGUGAGAUGUUGGGUUAAGUCCCGCAACGAGCGCAACCCUUGCUAUUAGUUGCUACGCAAGAGCACUCUAAUAGGACUGCCGUUGACAAAACGGAGGAAGGUGGGGACGACGUCAAAUCAUCAUGCCCCUUAUGACCUGGGCUACACACGUACUACAAUGGACAUUAACAGAGGGAAGCAAUACAGUGAUGUGGAGCAAACCCCUAAAAAUGUUCUCAGUUCAGAUUGCAGGCUGCAACCCGCCUGUAUGAAGAUGGAAUUGCUAGUAAUCGCAGAUCAGCAUGCUGCGGUGAAUACGUUCCCGGGCCUUGCACUCACCGCCCGUCA